GGGUUGUGAGGUUAAGCGACUAAGCGUACACGGUGGAUGCCCUGGCAGUCAGAGGCGAUGAAGGACGUGCUAAUCUGCGAAAAGCGUCGGUAAGGUGAUAUGAACCGUUAUAACCGGCGAUGUCCGAAUGGGGAAACCCAGUGCAAUUCGUUGCACUAUCGUUAACUGAAUACAUAGGUUAACGAGGCGAACCGGGGGAACUGAAACAUCUAAGUACCCCGAGGAAAAGAAAUCAACCGAGAUUCCCCCAGUAGCGGCGAGCGAACGGGGAGCAGCCCAGAGUCUGAAUCAGCUUGUGUGUUAGUGGAACGGUCUGGAAAGUCCGACGGUACAGGGUGAUAGUCCCGUACACCAAAAUGCACAGGCUGUGAACUCGAAGAGUAGGGCGGGACACGUGGUAUCCUGUCUGAAUAUGGGGGGACCAUCCUCCAAGGCUAAAUACUCCUGACUGACCGAUAGUGAACCAGUACCGUGAGGGAAAGGCGAAAAGAACCCCGGCGAGGGGAGUGAAAAAGAACCUGAAACCGUGUACGUACAAGCAGUGGGAGCACCUUCGGGUGUGACUGCGUACCUUUUGUAUAAUGGGUCAGCGACUUAUAUUCUGUAGCAAGGUUAACCGUAUAGGGGAGCCGCAGGGAAACCGAGUCUUAACUGGGCGUUAAGUUGCAGGGUAUAGACCCGAAACCCGGUGAUCUAGCCAUGGGCAGGUUGAAGGUUGGGUAACACUAACUGGAGGACCGAACCGACUAAUGUUGAAAAAUUAGCGGAUGACUUGUGGCUGGGGGUGAAAGGCCAAUCAAACCGGGAGAUAGCUGGUUCUCCCCGAAAGCUAUUUAGGUAGCGCCUCGUGAAUUCAUCUUCGGGGGUAGAGCACUGUUUCGGCUAGGGGGUCAUCCCGACUUACCAACCCGAUGCAAACUACGAAUACCGAAGAAUGUUAUCACGGGAGACACACGGCGGGUGCUAACGUCCGUCGUGAAGAGGGAAACAACCCAGACCGCCAGCUAAGGUCCCAAAGUCAUGGUUAAGUGGGAAACGAUGUGGGAAGGCACAGACAGCCAGGAUGUUGGCUUAGAAGCAGCCAUCAUUUAAAGAAAGCGUAAUAGCUCACUGGUCGAGUCGGCCUGCGCGGAAGAUGUAACGGGGCUAAACCAUGCACCGAAGCUGCGGCAGCGACACUAUGUGUUGUUGGGUAGGGGAGCGUUCUGUAAGCCUGCGAAGGUGUGCUGUGAGGCAUGCUGGAGGUAUCAGAAGUGCGAAUGCUGACAUAAGUAACGAUAAAGCGGGUGAAAAGCCCGCUCGCCGGAAGACCAAGGGUUCCUGUCCAACGUUAAUCGGGGCAGGGUGAGUCGACCCCUAAGGCGAGGCCGAAAGGCGUAGUCGAUGGGAAACAGGUUAAUAUUCCUGUACUUGGUGUUACUGCGAAGGGGGGACGGAGAAGGCUAUGUUAGCCGGGCGACGGUUGUCCCGGUUUAAGCAUGUAGGCUGGUUAUCCAGGCAAAUCCGGAUAAUCAAGGCUGAGGUGUGAUGACGAGGCACUACGGUGCUGAAGUAACAAAUGCCCUGCUUCCAGGAAAAGCCUCUAAGCAUCAGGUAACAUUAAAUCGUACCCCAAACCGACACAGGUGGUCAGGUAGAGAAUACCAAGGCGCUUGAGAGAACUCGGGUGAAGGAACUAGGCAAAAUGGUGCCGUAACUUCGGGAGAAGGCACGCUGGUGUGUAGGUGAAGUCCCUGCGGAUGGAGCUGAGACCAGUCGAAGAUACCAGCUGGCUGCAACUGUUUAUUAAAAACACAGCACUGUGCAAACACGAAAGUGGACGUAUACGGUGUGACGCCUGCCCGGUGCCGGAAGGUUAAUUGAUGGGGUUAUCCGUAAGGAGAAGCUCUUGAUCGAAGCCCCGGUAAACGGCGGCCGUAACUAUAACGGUCCUAAGGUAGCGAAAUUCCUUGUCGGGUAAGUUCCGACCUGCACGAAUGGCGUAAUGAUGGCCAGGCUGUCUCCACCCGAGACUCAGUGAAAUUGAACUCGCUGUGAAGAUGCAGUGUACCCGCGGCAAGACGGAAAGACCCCGUGAACCUUUACUAUAGCUUGACACUGAACAUUGAGCCUUGAUGUGUAGGAUAGGUGGGAGGCUUUGAAGCGUGGACGCCAGUCUGCGUGGAGCCAACCUUGAAAUACCACCCUUUAAUGUUUGAUGUUCUAACGUUGGCCCCUUACCGGGGUUGCGGACAGUGUCUGGUGGGUAGUUUGACUGGGGCGGUCUCCUCCCAAAGCGUAACGGAGGAGCACGAAGGUUAGCUAAUCCUGGUCGGACAUCAGGAGGUUAGUGCAAUGGCAUAAGCUAGCUUGACUGCGAGCGUGACGGCGCGAGCAGGUGCGAAAGCAGGUCAUAGUGAUCCGGUGGUUCUGAAUGGAAGGGCCAUCGCUCAACGGAUAAAAGGUACUCCGGGGAUAACAGGCUGAUACCGCCCAAGAGUUCAUAUCGACGGCGGUGUUUGGCACCUCGAUGUCGGCUCAUCACAUCCUGGGGCUGAAGUAGGUCCCAAGGGUAUGGCUGUUCGCCAUUUAAAGUGGUACGCGAGCUGGGUUUAGAACGUCGUGAGACAGUUCGGUCCCUAUCUGCCGUGGGCGCUGGAGAAUUGAGGGGGGCUGCUCCUAGUACGAGAGGACCGGAGUGGACGCAUCACUGGUGUUCGGGUUGUCAUGCCAAUGGCACUGCCCGGUAGCUAAAUGCGGAAGAGAUAAGUGCUGAAAGCAUCUAAGCACGAAACUUGCCCCGAGAUGAGUUCUCCCUGAGACUUUAAGUCUCCUGAAGGAACGUUGAAGACGAUGACGUUGAUAGGCCGGGUGUGUAAGCGCAGCGAUGCGUUGAGCUAACCGGUACUAAUGAACCGUGAGGCUUAACCUUACAACGCCGAAG
rnacentral:rRNA from 1 species